ensembl:lncRNA
UAUAAACAAAACACCAUGCACGAAGAAUGCGGAGUGUAUAGGUUCAAUGCACGUCACAAUUCCGGGUUUGGCUAUACCGGCAAACCAACUUCCGGUGAGGUGGACGGCACUUGGCGACAAACGACAGACACAAUACAACAAACAUGGCUCUCUUCUAUACUCGGUGUCUUCAAGACCUACCUCGUCUGAAUAUUAACGAUGUGACAGACUAGUGAAGAAGUCUUGCACCACUCCCUCCAGUAAACGGGAAAGGGAUUUAAGAUGUAUAUCGCAGCUACAUCGAUAAUUACGAGGGGUACGUGAUUGUGUGCGUAUUUGGUCCGAAAAAGCGGUAAAGUGCGACUGAACAAUGCAAUCCAGUAGCGUGAUGCUGGUGGUUCUGCUCCUCGAAGUGCUCUGCCGGGCCGCACCCCCCAGCACGGAGAUGGUGACCCUGGAAGUGGAGUUGGGGGCCAUGGCGAUCUUCCCCUGCAAUGGCUCCUCCUUUCUGGGGCUGGGGGCCGGCGGGGGCUCGGGGGAGAGGAGGAGGAUGAGGGGGGGCUGUUCGUCUGGGAGGCCAUGGGGAAGGACGUGGUCGCCUUCAAGGACGGGGCCAUGGUGGAGGGCUCCCAGUACGAGGGGCGUGUUCACCUGGCGUCUGAGGACAGCGUCCUGACGGGUGAUUGGUCGCUGGUUCUGGAGGGGGUGCGGCACGCCGAUGUCAACAUGUACGAGUGCAUCGUACCGGGGAGAAGGACCCUGGCCAAUGUGUGGCUGAGCGUGGAGCCCCCUGAGGGGCAGACCCUGUGGGUGAACGCGUGGCUCGGGGACUCCACCUACCUGAGCUGUGAGGCCCCAGAGGCGGAGCGCUCACUGGACCUCCGCUUCUGGUGGGAGAAGGACGGGGUCCCGGUGCCGCACGACCAUGAGGAUAAAGAUCGUUUCCACGUGGAGACGGACGGUAACCAUGUGGGUCUGAUCAUCAGCCAGGUACUGAUCACCGACAGGGGGGUCUACCACUGCUUCUUCCAAUCACGGCCCUCUCAAGAGCCGAGGCGAGGGUCUCCAGAAAUCGUGAAAUUGACCGUUUUGGGAUCGGAGCACUUGGACGACGAGGAGAUGGGCCCCGAGGCUACUCCAUCGACGGAGCCUUCUACGCCACAGGAUGAGGAGGAGGAGGUGCCGACCCCCUCGGACCCCACCCUGCUGGAGAGCCCCCUACUCCUCUCCGAUGACACCCUCGGUGGGCAGGACAACAGCCAUGGGGAUGAUGUGCCCUGGGUUCGAAUCACCAUCAUGACCAGUGUUCUGGCCAUCACUGCCGUCACGCUUUGCAUCCUAAGAGCCCGCGACGGAUCCGUCAUCCAAUCAGAAUACGUAUGCCAAUUUAAGCACUGUGACACUACUCGGGCUCUGACGACCCUGGAAACCUGCCCCAUCCGUCAGCCACUCCUUCCCAGUCCUUUGACUGACGGUGCAGUGGGCACGAGGCGUGAGCCCGAGUAGUGUCACAGUGCUCACAUUUGCAUACGUGAUCUGAUUGGAUGACGGUUCCGUCGCUGCCGAAAAACAUUUUUCAACUUUUUGACGGAGCCAAAGGCUCCAACGGAGCGCACGGAUCCACAAUGCAGUCCGUCCGUCCCCGUUCAAAGUCAAUGGAGAUCAGUCAAUGGACGGAAGCAGUGGGCACGAGGCGUGAGAAGGGAG